GAUGAACGCUGGCGGCGUGCUUAACACAUGCAAGUCGAACGGACAGGCCCUGCUCUUGUGGCGUGCUCGAUAGGCGAACGGGUGUGUAACACGCGAGUAUCCUGCCCUUGACUUUCGGAUAACUUCAGGAAACUGGGGCUAAUACCGGAUAGGAGCUCCUGCUGCAUGGUGUGGGUUGGAAAGUUUCGGCGGUUGGGGAUGGACUCGAGGCUUAUCAGCUUGUUGGUGGGGUAGUGGCUUACCAAGGCUUUGACGGGUAGCCGGCCUGGGAGGGUGACCGGCCACAUUGGGACUGAGAUACGGACCAGACUCCUACGGGAGGCAGCAGUGGGAAAUAUUGCACAGUGGGCGGAAGCCUGAUACAGCAACGCCGCGUGCGGGAUGACGGCCUUCGGGUUGUAAACCGCUUUCGCCGGUGACGAAGCGUGAGUGACGGUAAUGGGUAAAGAAGCACCGGCUAACUACGUG
rnacentral:rRNA from 1 species